rnacentral:rRNA from 1 species
GUGGGGAAUCUUGCGCAAUGGGCGAAAGCCUGACGCAGCCAUGCCGCGUGAAUGAUGAAGGUCUUAGGAUUGUAAAAUUCUUUCACCGGGGACGAUAAUGACGGUACCCGGAGAAGAAGCUCCGGCUAACUUCGUGCCAGCAGCCGCGGUAAUACGAAGGGGGCUAGCGUUGCUCGGAAUUACUGGGCGUAAAGGGCGCGUAGGCGGACAGCUUAGUCAGAGGUGAAAGCCCAGGGCUCAACCUUGGAAUUGCCUUUGAUACUGGCUGUCUUGAGUUUGGGAGAGGUGAGUGGAACUCCGAGUGUAGAGGUGAAAUUCGUAGAUAUUCGGAAGAACACCAGUGGCGAAGGCGACAUACUGGUCCAUUACUGACGCUGAGGCUCGAAAGCGUGGGGAGCAAACAGGAUUAGAAACCCGGGUAGUCC